AUGUGCACUAGGUAGCAUGUGACAAAACUAAUUAAGACAUGUGAAUUACACAACAUUAUUACAUGAGAAAGUUGGCUAUAAACACUACUACAAAAAUGCCAAAAAAUCAACGGCCAAAAGCGACGAAAAUCCAUCGCUUUUUUUUUGCGUCUCAAAAAGGGUCGUUGUUUUUUGAAAACAACGGCUUGCGUCGCUUUUAUUACGACGGACAGCAUCGCUUUUAGGAAAAAAUAUUUUUUAGUUAUUCUUAGAAAUAGCGACACUGUGCGUCAUUUUUUGUUCUUCAACGAAGAACAUAUGAUGAACAAAAAAUGACAGACAUCGUCACUUUAUUGAAAAAAAUAAUUUUUCCUAGAAAAAUUGACACUAUCCGUCGUAAUUUGAGAAAAAUAAAAAAAAUACAAAAAGCGACGUUGAUCGUCUUUUUUUGUUCUUCAUAAGGAUUGAAAAAGCAAUGUUGAUCGUCGCUUUUUGUUCUUCAUAGUGAAUAAAAUACGACGUUGAUCAUCGCUUUUUGUUCUUCAUAAUGAAUAAAAAAGCGACGGCCAUCAUCACUUUUCUGCAUUUCUUUUGGAUGCAGAAAUCUACAUUUUCUGCAUCCCACCUGCCAAAUAAAAAUACAAUUCAAUAUAUACAGCCUCAUGCAACACAUAUUUCUAAAAUAACCAUACAACAUACUAAAUUAUGAAAACAUUUACACAAUUCAAAUCAACAACACUUACAAAAUCAAAUCCAAAAUCUAAAACACUUAAUAAUUAAUCCAACAACAACCAAAACACUUAAACAAUCCUAAAGUUUUUUCAUUAAAGUCUAAAGGCUUCCUAGAUUUCUUUUUAGCAGUUGACUUCGAACUCUUAUCAGGACGAGACCGAUCACCGUCACCACCGGAUGUCAUUUGUAUGCAAGUUCAUAUAAAAACAUAUGAAAAUCAAGUCAUUAGCUCAUAUUUCAUGUGACUAUACUUAGUAUUUUUAAGUUACUAGCACAUAUUUCAAGUCACAUCACUCAAACCAUUUUCAAAUAUCUAAUUGACAUUUUAUUUCACUAUACUUAACCAUUUUCAAGUAACUAAUUCACAUUUCAAGUAACUACACUUAACCAUUUUUAAGUCAUUAGUUCACAAUUUAAUUAACUACAGUUAACCAUUUUCAAAUAAUUAAUUCACAUUUCAAGUUAGUAUACUUAAACCAUUUUCAAGUAACUACUUCACAUUUCAAAAAACUAUAAUUAAUCAUUUUCAAGUCACUACACUUAAUCAUUCAUUUCAAGUCACUACACUUAACCACUUUCAAAUAACUAGUUCACAUUUCAAGUAACUACACUUAACCAUUUUCAAGUCACUAGUUCACAAUUUCAAGUAACUAUACUUAACCGUUUUCAAGUCACAAGUUUGCAAUUACAAGUAACUACACUAAACCAUUCUCAAGUCACUAUACUUAAUAAUUUUGAAAUAACUUAUUCACAUUUCAAGUCACUGCAAUCAAACCAUUUUCAAAUAGCUAAUUGACAUUUCAAGUAACAAUUAACCAUUUUUAAAACACUACACUUAACUAUUUUCAACUCUCUAAUUCACAUUUCAAGUGACUAAACCUAACCAUGUUCAAGUCAUGAAUUCACAUUUCAAGUGCCAAUAGUAAACCAAUUUCAAGUCAUGAAUUCACAUUUUUCAAGUGAUUACACUUUACUAAUUUCAACACACAAGUUCACCUUUCAAGUAACUACACUAAACCAUUUUCAAGUCGCUAUUUCAUUUCUCAAGUGACUACACUUGAUCAUUUUGAAGUCACUAGUACACAUUUUGAAACACUACACUUAACCUUUUUCAACUCUCUAAUUCACAUUUCAAGGUACUAAACCUAUCCAUGUUCAAGUCAUGAAUUCACAUUUCAAGUAUCAACACUAAACCAAUUUCAAGUCAUGAAUUCACAUUUUUCAAGUGAUUACACUUUACUAAUUUCAAAACACAAGUUCACCUUUCAAGUAACUACACUAAACCAUUUUUAAGUCGCUAAUCCACUUCUCAAAUGACUACACUUGAUCAUUUUGAAGUCAUUAGUACACAUUUUAAAAUACUACACUUAACCAUUUUCAACUCUCUAAUUUACAUAUCAAGUGACUAAACUUAACCAUUAUCAAGUCAUGAAUUCACAUUUCAAGUGAAAACACUAAAUCAAUUUCAAGUCAUGAAUUCAUAUUUUCAAGUGAUUACUAAUUUCAAAAUACAAGUUCACUUUUAAAGUAACUACACUAAAUCAUUUUAGAGUCUUUAAUCCACUUCUUAAGUGACUACACUUGAUCAUUUUGAAGUCACUAGUACAUAUUUCAAAACAUACACUUAACCAUUUUCAACUCUCUAAUUCACAUUUCAAGUGACUAUGUUAACCAUUUUCAAGUGAUGAAUUCACAUUUCAAGUGACAACACUAAACUAAUUUUUGUCACCAUAAUGAGACAAGGAACUUUUAUAGCACACCAUACUGAAAUUUUUUAUCUACUAUUGAAGUCCUAAAACUGGAAAAACACUAGGUGACCAUUGCAUACUCCCUCCAUUAUUACUAAUUAGUGAAUAAUUUCAACACUUAAAUUUAUUCAUGUACCAAACUAAAAUUGACAUAUCCAUCAGUUAGUGCAUUUGUCGCUGAACUACUCAAGUGACCACAUUUUAGGAGAUUCAAUUGACAAAUUAACAUUUCAAGUACAUAUAUUUAAGCAUUUUCAUACAAUUCCAAAUAAGAAGAAAUCAAAUCAAAAAUUUCACAACAAUCUUGUACCAUGACCAGGCUCCGUGGCCUACCAUAUGAACUAGCACAAAGUGCUUUUUAGCAUUAGGGCCUAACAAGGUUGCAUUUGCAUAUGGCAGCACAAGUAUUAGAACUGCUAGACUUGUUAGAAAAUUGCUUUUCUCCAUAUUUUUUCCCCUUUUAUGAAGAAUGAACACAUAAAAUGAACUAUAGAACACAACUUUAUAACUCGAGGAGUUUGGUUUCUGCUAACUUACGUCUAUGUAGAAGCAAUCCCACGUUGGCUAUUAUUUGAGGCAUUUGAAUUUUUAGCAUAGUUUGGUUUCUGCAACCCCAAAAUGAUUAUUUCUUCUACUCAUCUAAGCUGGGUCAAUUUACGCUAAGUAUGUAGUCCAUAUUCAUUCUUAAAAAAACUUAUCAAAAUACUUUUUAAAACUUAUUUUAUUUGAUAUGUUAGAUCUAACCAUAACAAAGAAUGACAAUAAUUAAGAAGUUCAAUAGUGUUAACAUCUUGACCAUGUAAUCUAAUCCUUCCACUUGAUCUUGCUAAUUUCAAUUGAAUUUUGCCAACUUCAGAUUACAAAAUAUAUUAAAAGAAGAAGAAACAAAGGAGUAGAAUAUAACCUAAAAUUAACACGAAAGUAAGUUGGUGUUGUGGGCUUGUGCAUGCUGGUCGGCUGGUGGGGAAGACGCAGCGGUGUUGGCAUCUUUGCCUGUUGCUGCUGUCAUUGGCUGCUGUUGUUGUUCUGAUGGACGACGGCGAUUGGCUGCAGCAUUUUGGUUCACAAAGAAGAUGAAGGGAGAUAGUUUUGGAGGCGGCUAGAAGGAGAACAGAGGCAGACAGUUGUGCGAUAGCAGCGGGGCCGAUAGAAGGUGGCGGCAAUAAUUUUGUUUUAGAGAGAAGGGAGAGUAGAGAGAGAGUGAGUGAGAGAGACGGC
rnacentral:lncRNA from 1 species